UUCCUUUUACCUUACUUGCAGUGCUAUUCCUGGUUUUUCAUGACUAGUGAUCAAUAACACAGUAAAAGAGGGGUUUGUUCAUUGUUGCAGAGGAAAAACAUGGUGUUAUUAU